CCCCCACGUGCUCGGGGGCCUUGGCUGUGUGAUCGCUGCGCUCCCGUCUGUGCUGCCCGGCUUCUCCCUUCCAGUGUCCAUUCUCCUUGAAAACACUAUUUCCGGGUAUUUAGCUCUGGGGAUUAUGGUUCUUUGGGGGCCCAAAAAGUAACUGGCUACUGUCACAAAAGCCGCUGGUUUCCUUUUUGGAGCAGUUGUGCCUUAAGCACCAUCUCACUGACACGGUGUUAGCCCAGGGGACUGGGCACCUGGUCACGUGCUGCGUGUUGUGGGGCCCAUCUGUCCAACAGUUGCCUCAUUCCUACCUGUGAGAGGUGAGGCAGAAGUGCUGAAUCAUUUACAAACCCUGAUGGUCUCUGAAUCCUUCCAUACCAUUACCAUUAAGUCAGGCCCAGGGCCAAGACACGGGAAUAGGCAAACAGAAGCGGGGUCCAAAAAUGGUUAUUUUUAUUCCAUUAUCUGAUUAUUAUUAUCAUUAUCUCUGGUAAAAGGGGGCCCAAUACUAAAAGUUAGCCCAAAGUCUAAGUACAGUGCUGGUUGGGGCAGCUUGCUACACUGCCUUUUGAGGCAUCAAGUCAAUGAGUGAUUAUUCCCUUUGGGACACUGCUGCAAUCACAAUUUCAUCUUGCAUCAUAAGAAGCAGAUGUGUUUUUUUCCCAGACUGUGGCACACGAAUGAGGUCAUGGUGGUGUCCCACUGCAGCUUCUCCCAGACACUUGCAUAUGUCAUGGACCCUGAUGUGGUUCUCCCCGAGCCCUGUGAACACACCUUGCUACUCGUCUUGAUACUGUUCUGCAGACAGAUGAAUGGAAGCUACAAAAGGCUAGUCAUUCUACCUUUCAAGCCAUAGAAACAUGCAGACUGCUGCUACCUAGCUCAUCGCAGUUAUAAACUGUUUUAAAGAGACACAUACCUCUUUCUCAGGCUGUAUCUACACCAGGUAGUUGUAUCAAUGUAACUAUAUCAAUCGUAUCAACCAUAUCAUUUUAGGGAUUGUUUGUGCACAUCAAUCUACCAGUUUAACUUCACUUUUGAUUAUGAUUUGCACUGUUGAAUUAAAGCAGUGUAAAAUGUGUGGAUAUUCUUUUAAGUCCGUUAUGAACAGACUGAAGCUAGACAAUGAUAAUCCAUUCUUACACCAAAAUAAAAGUGUCUACAAAAUGGUUUGCA
rnacentral:lncRNA from 1 species